rnacentral:rRNA from 1 species
AAGGAUCAUUAUCGAGUUUUGAAACCGAAGGCUUGUGCUGGUGCGGAAACGCAYAUGUGCACGGCUUUCGUGCUCAAAUCCACUCAAACCCCUGUGCACCUUUGAACGGUUGAAGCUAGUAGUUAGUAACUGUAACUUUCGACUCGAUGACUYRGUACUGUUAGUAUUAACUAGCAGGAAAACGUUAAAGAGAAGAGAGGGUGAAGGCGAACGCGAACGCUUUGACUAGUUUAUAUUAUUACAAACCCUUUUAUUGUUAUGUGAAUGUAAUGCUCCUUGUGGGCGAUAAUGUUAAUACAACUUUCAACAACGGAUCUCUAGGCUCUCGCAUCGAUGAAGAACGCAGCGAAAUGCGAUAAGUAAUGUGAAUUGCAGAAUUCAGUGAAUCAUCGAAUCUUUGAACGCACCUUGCGCCCCUUGGUAUUCCGAGGGGCAUGCCUGUUUGAGUGUCGUGUUAAUCUCAAAUCACUUGUCUUAUGUUUGCUUCUUGAUUGAAGUAGGCUGACUUGCGAUUUGGACUUGGAGGUUUAUGCUGGCCCGGGCGACUUUGUUGUUACCCUUUGGUUUGCCGGCUCCUCUUAAAUACAUUAGCUGGACUUUGGUUCGCGUUUAUGGUGUAAUAGUGUUAUUAUGCUUCACCGGAGCGCUUGCCUAACGGGUCUGCUUCUAAUCGUCCGUGUAAUAUAGGACAAGGAUCCCUUAGUGGCCUUAACUCUGACACCUUUGACCUCAAAUCAGGUAGG